rnacentral:tRNA from 1 species
GCCGCUGUGGCGAAACUGGCAGACGCAAGGGACUUAAAAUCCCUCGAAAGUAAAAUUUCGUACCGGUUCGAGUCCGGUCAGCGGCACCA